ensembl:lncRNA
GUCAGCUUUUAUGUGUAAGAAGAAGGUCACAGAAGCACUCCCAUUUGGCAACAAUGAGGUUUGUAGGGAGUGAGAUAGAUGGGUUAUUUGUAUGUUUGUUUGUUUGUUUGUUUAAUGCAGGUGGUGGGAUAGAAUGACAGUUGUGAGCAGUUCCCAUCGGCAUCAACUGUACCACAGACCCAGUCUCAGUGUGACACAGAAGACAACUACCUGGAAAGUUCAUCCACAGAGCACGUAAUUCUGAUUGGUGCAACAGUCUGGAAGAGUGAAAGAUGUCAUCUCCCAAGGGCAAGUGCUGUGCUAGUGGACACUGAGGAGCUGCAGGGAUCAGACCCCUCCCCAUCCUUCUCCAGCCUCUCUUGUUCUUCCUUGAGAUGUUUCCUGCAGACCUGAAAGAUCCAGGCAGUCCAUGACAUGGGUUUGAAUUUAAUCUCAGGACAUUUUAUUCAUUGCCCAAAAACUAAGACCAGAUAAAAUUUAUUUAUUCAUUCAUUCAUUCAUUCAUUCAUUCAUUCAUUUCUUAUAUAUAAGUACAGGGUAGUUGUCUUUAGAAACAACAGAGAGGUCAUCAGAUCUAAUUAGAGAUAUUUGUGAGCUGCCAUGUGGUUGCUGGGAUUUGAACUCAGGACCCCUGGAAGAGCAUUCAGUGCUCUUAACCAUUUAUCAAUCUUUCCCAUUUCCAAGGUAACUUUUUUACUUUCAACAAGGUAUUCUUUAUUCAGGUUACAUCCUGAUCCCAGCUACUCUCCCUCUUCCCUUCCCAGUCCCACCAUACAAAUCCUUUCUAACAAUGCUCUCCCUUCUCUUUGGAGAUGGGGAUACUCCCUGGGUACCACACCACCCUGGGACAUCUAGUCCCAGGUGGACCGAGCACAUUCUGCCCCACAGAUUUACAAUCAGGCAGUCCGGGUAUGGGGAAGAGAUCCAAUGGCAGGCAACAAAGACUGAGACAGUCCUGGAUCUACUUGUCAGAUGACCCACAUGGAGACCAACUGCAGAUAGCUACACCAGGCUCUGGAGUUGGUUGCACAGGCUCUAGUAUACAUGGUCCAAAGUAUCUGACUGUAGGGGACUUCUUGUAGUGUUUUUGACCCCUCUAGUUUGCUCACAAUUCUCCCUCACUCUUCCACAAGACUUCCCAAGCUCCAUCUGAUGUUUGGCUGUGGGUUUCAGCUUGUGGAUGAAGCCUCUUCAGAGACAAGUAUGUUUCUUUUCUGUCCACAAGUAUAUCAGAGUAUCAUAAAUACUGUCAGAGGUUAUCUCUGUCACAUAGAUGGAUCUCACUUUGGGGCAGUCAUUGAUUGGUUGUUCCCUCAAUCUCUGCUAUAUCUUUAUCCCUGCACAUUCAUUAGCAAGAUAGAUUUUGAGUUGGUGCUGUGAGUGCAUUGAUGUCCACUUCCUCGUCUAGAAGUUCUUUCUUGCAACAAGAGGUAGCCAUUUCUGUCUCUUGCUCUGGUAGGAUUCUAACCUAGGGUCACCCCCGUAGACUCCCCCUAUGCUCUCCCUUACCAGCCAUCCAGCAAGUCACCAGAGAUCCCUGCUCCCUCCUGCCCAGAAAAUUUGUAUUCCCACUCCCAUCCCUCUCCCAAACCCCUCUCCCUUGACCUGAUCACUAUUUCCGUCUCCUUUCCUGCCUCUUCUCUUAACCUGUUCCAUCACUUCAUCCUUCUGAGGACUAUUUUGUUUUCCCUCUGAGUGAGAUGCACACCUCCUCAUUUAGGCCGUCCAGAAUUCUUUCUUCUUGUCUAUCUAUCUGUUAUCUUACACUGUAUGAUAAUGUCCACCUAUAAGUGAG